AUUUUGAAACAACAUAGGCAAAGUGAACGAAUGCGAUAAUUUUUUUAAAAGUGAGACAAAUGCUUCCCCUUGGGAUUUCAUCCCUUUCAUAUCUAUUUGGAACUGUUUAGCGUUUCCCCUUUUUCUUCUUCUUUCUCUUGUUUUUGUUCUUCC
rnacentral:ribozyme from 16 species